CAAUAGCGUAUAUUAAAGUUGUUGCGGUUAAAAAGCUCGUAGUUGGAUUUCUGCUGAGAACGACCGGUCCGCCCUUUGGGUGUGUAUCUGGCUCUUUCUUGGCAUCUUCUUGGUGAACGUUGCUGCACUUGACUGUGUGGAGCGCUACCCAGGACUUUUACUUUGAGGAAAUUAGAGUGUUUCAAGCAGGCAUACGCCUUGAAUACAUUAGCAUGGAAUAAUAAGAUAGGACCUCGGUUCUAUUUUGUUGGUUUCUAGAGCUGAGGUAAUGAUUAAUAGGGAUAGUUGGGGGCAUUCGUAUUUAACUGUCAGAGGUGGAAUUCUCAGAUUUGUUAAAGACUGACUUAUGCGAAAGCAUUUGCCAAGGAUGUCUUCAUUAA
rnacentral:rRNA from 1 species